CCUACGGGUGGCAGCAGUGAGGAAUAUUGGUCAAUGGACGAGAGUCUGAACCAGCCAAGUAGCGUGAAGGAUGACUGCCCUAUGGGUUGUAAACUUCUUUUAUAUGGGAAUAAAAUGUUCCACGUGUGGGAUUUGUAUGUACCAUAUGAAUAAGGAUCGGCUAACUCCGUGCCAGCAGCCGCGGGAAUACGGAGGGUACGAGCGUUAUACGGGUUUAUUGGGUUUAAAGGGAGCGUAGGGGGGUUGUUAAGUCAGUUGUGAAGGUGUGCGGCGUAACCGUAAAAUUGCAGUUGAAACUGGCAGUCUUGAGUACAGUAGAGGUGGGCGGAAGUCGUGGUGUAGCGGUGAAAUGCUUAGAUAUCACGAAGAACUCCGAUUGCGAAGGCAGCUCACUGGACUGCAACUGACACUGAGGCACGAAAGUGUGGGUAUCAAACAGGAUUAGAUACCCCAGUAGUC
rnacentral:rRNA from 1 species